UGAAAUUGGAAUGAUACAGAGAAGAUUAGUAGCAUGGCACCUGUGCAAGGAUGAAACGUAAAUUCUGAAGCGGUCCAUUAAAAA
rnacentral:snRNA from 10 species